UUGCGCAAGUGCUAUUUUAUUCAGCAAUCUUCGCAAUCCUCUGCCGGCGCCCCAGGCCUAUUCUUAUUACCAGAAUCACUGCCCGGACAUAGAGUCCACUGCGGCCGCCGAAUCAGGCCUGCCGCGGCCGCCAACCCAACAGGGUUGCCCCGGCCCCCGGGCUACGCACUGUCCAGAAGACGGGGCGAGGUGAGCCAACAUCACAAGUGUUGAGCCAGGACGGAAAAAUUCAAAGGGCGACCGACGGGUCGCCCU
rnacentral:sRNA from 1 species